rnacentral:rRNA from 1 species
AUUGAACGCUGGCGGCAGGCCUAACACAUGCAAGUCGAACGGUAACAGGAAGAAGCUUGCUUCUUUGCUGACGAGUGGCGGACGGGUGAGUAAUGUCUGGGAAACUGCCUGAUGGAGGGGGAUAACUACUGGAAACGGUAGCUAAUACCGCAUAACGUCGCAAGUCCAAAGAGGGGGACCUUCGGGCCUCUUGCCAUCGGAUGUGCCCAGAUGGGAUUAGCUAGUAGGUGGGGUAACGGCUCACCUAGGCGACGAUCCCUAGCUGGUCUGAGAGGAUGACCAGCCACACUGGAACUGAGACACGGUCCAGACUCCUACGGGAGGCAGCAGUGGGGAAUAUUGCACAAUGGGCGCAAGCCUGAUGCAGCCAUGCCGCGUGUAUGAAGAAGGCCUUCGGGUUGUAAAGUACUUUCAGCGGGGAGGAAGGGAGUAAAGUUAAUACCUUUGCUCAUUGACGUUACCCGCAGAAGAAGCACCGGCUAACUCCGUG